rnacentral:rRNA from 1 species
AUUGAACGCUGGCGGCAUGCUUUACACAUGCAAGUCGAACGGUAACAGGCCUUCGGGUGCUGACGAGUGGCGCACGGGUGAGUAAUGCAUCGGAACGUACCCAGAGGUGGGGGAUAACGCAGCGAAAGCUGUGCUAAUACCGCAUGUGAUCUGAGGAUGAAAGCGGGGGACCGAGCAGCAAUGUUUGGCCUCGCGCCUUUGGAGCUGCCGAUGUCGGAUUAGCUAGUUGGUGGGGUAAAGGCCUACCAAGGCGACGAUCCGUAGCUGGUCUGAGAGGACGAACAGCCACACUGGGACUGAGACACGGCCCAGACUCCUAAGGGAGGCAGCAGUGGGGAAUUUUGGACAAUGGGCGCAAGACUGAUCAAGCAAUGCCGCGUGCGGGAAGAAGGCCUUCGGGUUGUAAACCGCUUUUGGCAGGAACGAAACGGUGUCCGCUAAUACCGGGCGCUAAUGACGGUACCUGCAGAAUAAGCACCGGCUAACUACGUG